rnacentral:rRNA from 1 species
UACGUAGGGUGCGAGCGUUGUCCGGAAUUACUGGGCGUAAAGAGCUCGUAGGUGGUUUGUCGCGUUGUUCGUGAAAACUCACAGCUCAACUGUGGGCGUGCGGGCGAUACGGGCAGACUAGAGUACUGCAGGGGAGACUGGAAUUCCUGUGUAGCGGUGGAAUGCGCAGAUAUCAGGAGGAACACCGGUGGCGAAGGCGGGUCUCUGGGCAGUAACUGACGCUGAGGAGCGAAAGCGUGGGGAGCGAACAGG